rnacentral:rRNA from 1 species
AGAACGAACGCUGGCGGCAGGCCUCAAACAUGCAAGUCGAACGUGAAGCCCGGGCUUGCCCGGGUGGAAAGUGGCGAACGGGUGAGUAACACGUGAGGAACCUGCCCCGGAGACCGGGAUAACCCAGGGAAACUUGGGCUAAUACCGGAUGUCUUCAUUGGAUCGCAUGGUCCGAUGAAGAAAUGGAUUCCGCUCCGGGAUGGCCUCGCGGCCUAUCAGCUUGUUGGUGAGGUAACGGCUUACCAAGGCUUCGACGGGUAGCUGGUCUGAGAGGACGAUCAGCCACACUGGGACUGAGACACGGCCCAGACUCCUACGGGAGGCAGCAGUUAGGAAUCUUGCACAAUGGGGGAAACCCUGAUGCAGCGACGCCGCGUGCGGGACGAAGGCCCUCGGGUCGUAAACCGCUUUCAGCAGGAACGAAAUUGACGGUACCUGCAGAAGAAGCCCGGCCAACUACGUGCCAGCAGCCGC